CCAGCUAUUCAGAUUCUUUUGUCCCACAGGGUGAUCCCUUGAUGUGGUUUUCUUCCCCUUCUGCUAGUGAUGGUGCUUCCUGAGAGCUGGACGACAGUGAUUGUUAUUGCCCUUCUGGGUCUAGGCACACAGUGGAGCUACCGAUCUCUGGGCUGGUACUAGGAAAGUGUCUGCAAAGAGUCCUUUGAUGUGACCUGUCUUCAGAUAUCUCAGUCUUGGAUAUCAGCACCUGCUCCAGCGGAGCAUCAAUUGCUCUACAAUUUGGAGAUAUCAGACGAACAGAGGGAAAAUGCAGUCAGUGGUCUAAAGCUGCCCCUUAGGAAAUCUAAGGCUAUAUCUGGUUCCAUAAAGUCUUUAAUCAGUCAGUCAGAACAACUGCAGCAUUCCUGCCGCUCAGAAUACCUUAAUGGCCUUAGUAGCUGAGGUCCUCACAGCACUGGCAAGAGCAACAUGGCAUUGGAAUGGGAGGACUGAAGUAAGUUUCUUCCACAAAAGGCUAGCAUCUGAGGCAUUUUGCCAAAGGCA
rnacentral:lncRNA from 10 species